AUUGAACGCUGGCGGCAGGCCUAACACAUGCAAGUCGAGCGGAGCGGCGGACGGGGGAGGAAUGCAUAGGAAUCGGACUGGUAGCGGGGGAGAACGUCAGGAAACGGGCGCUAAUACAGCAUCCUCUCAGAUGAGGCUAGGUAGGAGUAGCUAGUUUGUGGGGUAAAGGCCUACCAAGGCGACGAUCCGUAACUGGUCUGUGAGGAUGAUCAGUCACACGGUGACUGAGACACGGUCCAGACGCCUACGGGAGGCAGCAGUGGGGAAUAUGGAACAAUGGGCGAAAGCCUGAUCCAGCCAUGCCGCGUGUGUGAAGAAGGUCUUCGGGUUGUAAAGUACUUUAAGUUGGGAGGCGUUACCAACAGAAUAAGCACCGGCUAACUUCGUGCCAGCCGCCGCGGUAAUUC
rnacentral:rRNA from 1 species